GUUCCUGUAGAGCAACAAAUAGCAUGUUGGAUUUCUAAUCCAAAGGUCGUGGGUUCAAAUUACACCUGGGAUG